GGGAUUAUAGCCUCUAAACACUUUUAAAAGAGUCAUUUUGGCUGGGCACGGUGGCUCACGCCUGUAAUCCCAGCACUUUGGGUGGCCGAGGCAGGCAGAUCACGAGGUCAGGAGUUCCAGACCAGCCUGGCCAACAUGGUGAAACCCCGUCUCUACUAAAAAUACAAAAAUUAGCUGAGUGUGAUGUCGGGCACCUGUAUCGGGAGGCUGAGGCAGGAGAAUCGUUUGAACCCAGGAGGCGGAGGUUGGAGUGAGCUGAGAUGCGCCACUGCACUCCAGCCUGGGCGACAGGGUGAGACUCCAUUUCAAAAAAGAAAAAAAAAGAGUCGUUCAAUGACAAGAGAAGAGGCUUUCCAUGGCAGCUGUACUGUUGUAGAGUAGCUUUGGGUUGGAGAGAGGGUUUGGGGCCCAGCACCUCACUAGAAAGUCACAAGGCCCAAUGGUGACUUUUCCAACCACCACCACACCCUUAGCAGUUCAGUGGAGAACAAAGUAAUAGUGAUUUCAGAUAGCAGUUAUUUAGUGGAUCAGUAUAGAUUAUCUUCAAGUUUCUGGAUAUAAGAGUUUUUAAACAACAUUUUUUUGGUGUUCUUGGCGGGGGUAGAAAUAACACUUUCUGCCUAGGUACUUAUAUGUAACAGAAUGACUAUUUUAGGCAAUAAUUACAAAAGAAGGAUGUUAUUAAAAUAAUUACUUUUUUCUUAGUAUAAAACAAUACAUGUUCACUGUAGAAACUUCAGAAAAUAUAAACUUUAAAAGAUGAAAUAUUACCCAUAAUUCAUCAAAGAUGAUCACUGUUAGUAUGUUGAUGGACAUGAGGGAUUAUUUUUUUAAUUGCAAAACUUGUUGCAAUAACAAGUUAGUCAAAGCACAACUAUCAAUAGAAUUUUGAGUCUGUUGAGUCAAUGAGUCAGCACUUAAUCCAUUGGAGAUAAUAGGUCAUAGAGAAUGUUCCAGUAAUUCUUGCUAUAUUCAUAAACAUUGAUUAGUGCUGCAGAGUAAGCAACUCUGCCUAAGCACAUUAGCACUUAGCUGACCACAAUUUAUGAUUUAUGCCAGAUGAAUAAUUCACUGAAAUGGAAUCCUUUAUUUGGAGUUAUUUUUCAUGCUUUCCAAUUGCUAAACACAUGGCAGAAGUGAGAAAAAUUGUAAGCUCUUCUGAGGAUAGGAAAGUUAGUUCAAACUUCAUUCUCCUCCCCUAAGUCUAGUACAAGUUUGUCAUUCUGUAAGUAUUUGUUGGUAACAAAUGCUCUUUUUUCUUAUGUAAUCAUGGCAAUUUCCUUAUAACUAAAAAUAAUUGGCUUUAUGGGAAAUUAUGGCCAAAAUUUUAAUGAAAUUAUUCAUACUGCUGGGUCAACAUUUAUAAUUUUGAUUGAAUAAAUAUGUUAUUAGAACUAAUAAAGUGUUAAAAAGUUGAUCUUGCUGUAUUUUUUAUCUGAAUUGUUUUACAGAAACCAUUUC
rnacentral:lncRNA from 10 species